ACCAGGAACCUUCAGGUUCUAUUUAUGAACACAGGAUGCAUUUUGAAAAGGACAAAGCAUUAGCUCGACGAUUCCAACCUGUGUUGAUUGGUCCCAAGCCCGGGUAAGGGAGGAGGGAAAAGGGCGUUAAGAUCAAUCCGAGGCCAUGACAAUGCCAAGAACAACCACCUAGUGACU